rnacentral:rRNA from 1 species
UUUGAAAUCUGACCUUCGGGUCCGAGUUGUAAUCUGCAGAUGAGUCUUCCGGCAGAGCGCCGUCCAAGUGCCCUGGAACGGGUCGCCGGAGAGGGUGAGAGCCCCGUACCGACGCGCGCCGAGCCUCUGUGAAGCUCAUUCGAAGAGUCGAGUAGUUUGGAAAUGCUGCUCUAAUUGUGGGGUAAAUCUCCCAUAAGGCUAAAUACCGGCCAGAGACCGAUAGCGCACAAGUAGCGUGAGCGAAAGAUGAAAAGAGCCUUGAACAAGGGCGUCAAAAAGCAUGUGAAAUUGUUGUGGGGGAAGCGUUCGAUGCCAGACAUGGCGGCGGUUGGUUACCCGGCGUUCUUCGCCGGCGCACUCUGCCGUCGCCAGGCCAGCAUCAGUUCGGAUCGAGGCCUACUGCCAGUGGGAACGUGGCUCCUCCGGGAGUGUUAUAGCCCAUUGGUAACGUCUCGGACCGGACUGAGGACCGCGCUUCGGCUCGGAUGCUGGCGUAAUGGCCUCUAGCGACCCGUCUUGAAACACGGACCAAGGAGUUGACCUAGCGUGCGAGUGUUUGGGUGUCAAGCCCUUACGCGCAGUGAAAGCGAAUGCAGGUGGGAGCUUCGGCGCACCAUCGACCGAUCCUGAAGUUUACGGAUGGAUUUGAGUAAGAGCACGUUGGGUCUGACCCGAAAGAAGGUGAACUAUGCAUGAAUAGGGUGAAGCCAGAGGAAACUCUGGUGGAGGCUCGCAGCGGUUCUGACGUGCAAAUCGAUCGUCAAAUUUGUGCAUGGGGGCGAAAGACCAAUCGAACCUUCUAGUAGCUGGUUCCUGCCGAAGUUUCCCUCAGGAUAGCAGAGUUGAUCCUCAGUUUCAUGAGGUAAAGCGAAUGAUUA